rnacentral:misc_RNA from 1 species
AACGCACAUUGCGCCCUUUGGCAUUCCGAGGGGCAUGCCCGUUCGAGCGUCAUUAACACCACUCAAGCCUAGCUUGGUAUUGGGCGUCGGGGACUUCCCCGCGCCUCCAUAUCGCCGGCUGGCCGUCGUCUGACUUAGCGUUGUGACACAUGUCGCUGAAGAAGACGUCGGAUCACGCCGUUAAACUCCUUGAAUGUUCAUUGAAUAUUCCAGUACAGGUUGACCUCGGAUCGGGUAGGAAUACCCGCUGAACUUAA